rnacentral:sRNA from 1 species
GAUCAAGCGUUGGAUGCUAAGGAGGUUUUCACGCAGGAGCAUGGGAGCAUGGAAGAGUAUCCAAAUCCCUACAGACAUACCGAUAAUGUCAUUGCACAAUGCGAGGAGGCUGAUGAUCUGGGGAAAAGCGACAUCAUUCGCACAAAUUUUUUGGAUAAAUUGAUACUAGCAGGCUUCGAUGUUCCGAGGCUUACGCUGUAGUGCUGACCACCAAUCAAUGAGAAAUCCCAAAGCCCACGAUAAACCGGCACACAAUCUUUUCUUUCCCUGAAGAUACAUAGCCUUAACACGCCGCACAGCGAUAGGGCGAAGGGAAGUUUUGGUUUCGAUCCAGGGCAACAUUCUCAC